GCCAAGGUAGCUCAGCUGGUAGAGCAGCUCACUCGUAAUGAGCAGGUCGUGGGUUCAAAUCCCAUCCUUGGCU